rnacentral:rRNA from 1 species
UACGUAGGGGGGCAAGCGUUGUCCGGAAUCAUUGGGCGUAAAGAGCGUGUAGGCGGUUCGGUAAGUCGGCUGUGAAAGUCCAGGGCUCAACCCUGGGAUGCCGGCGAUACUGCCGGACUAGAGUUCGGAAGAGGCGAGUGGAAUUCCCGGUGUAGCGGUGAAAUGCGCAGAUAUCGGGAGGAACACCUAUGGCGAAGGCAGCUCGCUGGGACGUUACUGACGCUGAGACGCGAAAGCGUGGGGAGCAAACAGG